AUAUGUAGGGGUUUUACCAAAAUGUUGUCUGCAAUACAAUUGCAUGUGUAAAUUAAGUCAAGUUGUUUGCCUGAUUUGUGCGUGCUUGUGGUGAUAA